rnacentral:tRNA from 1 species
GUCUCUUUAGCUCAAUGGUUAGAGCGUCUGCAUAGCUUCAGAAGGUUUAAGGUUCGAGUCCUUAAAGAGACACCA